GCGUAAGCGCGCGCAGGUGGUUUCUUAAGUCUGAUGUGAAAGCCCACGCCUCAACCGUGGAGGGUCAUUGGAAACUGGGAGACUUGAGUGCAGAAGAGGAAAGUGGAAUUCCAUGUGUAGCGGUGAAAUGCGUAGAGAUAUGGAGGAACACCAGUGGCGAAGGCGACUUUCUGGUCUGUAACUGACACUGAGGCGCGAAAGCGUGGGGAGCAAACAGGAUUACAUACCCUGGUAGUCCACGCCGAAGACUAUGAGUGCUUACUGUUA
rnacentral:rRNA from 1 species